UCCUGGAAACGAGCACAGCAGACACUUCACCUGCUGCCAGCGGCCAGUUCUCCCUCGCCCUUCGCUCUGCCCGUCAGUGCCGAGCUGCUGCUGCUGCCUGGGCUUUUCCCGACGCCUGCUCUGAAGCCAAUCCCGGCUGGAUGGGCACUGCUGCCCCAGUGGAGACGGUCAGAGACACCCUGGAGGAGAUGGAAGUGGACAUGGUGGUGCAUGGAGAAGAAAUGAUGGAGGUGGACACAGAAGACACUGCCGAGGACAUGGAGGUGGACGUGGAGGACGACAUCGAGGAAAUGGAGGUUGAUGAGAAGGAUGAGGAGGAGCCCAUGGUCCUCGGAUGAAGAUGGAGCCCCACGAGCAAGAGAAGCAGAUGCUUCCCACGCCCAGCCCACCUGAGCCACUGCUGGCAGCAGAGUCCAGCGCUGCUGCAUCCUUUCCUCCAGGACUGAGGGAGAUGAGGGACUCAGAUAUGACCCCUUUGUAAUUACGUUUUAUGUUUAGAGGUUUUCUGUAAAUAUGUUUUAACGUUUGUAACGCUAUAGGCUCCCGUGUAAAUAUGUUAGCAAGUUUAUUAGUCUAUAGGCUCCCAUGUAAAUAUGUUUGGAAGUUUGUUAGACUAUAGGUACCCAUGUACAUAUGUUUGGAAGUUUGUUAGUCUAUAAGCACCCAUGUAAAGAUGUUCUGUAGAUUGUUACUCUAUAGGCUGCCAUGUAAACAUGUUCUGUAGACUGUUGUUUUUAUAAGGAUUGUCCAAAUAAAACAUCUUCUGUAAAUCCUA